rnacentral:sRNA from 1 species
GCCGGGCGCAGUGGCCCACACCUGUAAUUCCAGUGGCUCGGGAGGCUGAGGCAGGAUGAUCGCAAGUUUAAAGCCAGCUUCAACAAAAGUGAGGUUCUAAGCAACUCAGUGAGACCCUGUCUUUU